AUACGUAGGGGGCGAGCGUUGUCCGGAAUGAUUGGGCGUAAAGGGCGCGUAGGCGGCGCGGUAAGUCUGGAGUGAAAGUCCUGCUUUCAAGGUGGGAAUUGCUUUGGAUACUGCCGCGCUUGAGUGCAGGAGAGGUUAUCGGAAUUCCCGGUGUAGCGGUGAAAUGCGUAGAGAUCGGGAGGAACACCAGUGGCAAAGGCGGGUAACUGGACUGCAACUGACGCUGAGGCGCGAAAGUGUGGGGAGCAAACAGGAUUAGAUACCCUGGUAGUCCACACUGUAAACGAUGAAUGCUAGGUGUAAGAGGUAUCGACCCCUUUUGUGCCGGAGUCAACACAAUAAGCAUUCCGCCUGGGGAGUACGGCCGCAAGGUUGAAACUCAAAGGAAUUGACGGGG
rnacentral:rRNA from 1 species